rnacentral:rRNA from 1 species
AUUGAACGCUGGCGGCAGGCCUAACACAUGCAAGUCGAGCGGUAGAGAGGUGCUUGCAUCUCUUGAGAGCGGCGGACGGGUGAGUAAUGCCUAGGAAUCUGCCUAGUGGUGGGGGAUAACGUUCGGAAACGGACGCUAAUACCGCAUACGUCCUACGGGAGAAAGCGGGGGAUCUUCGGACCUCGCGCCAUUAGAUGAGCCUAGGUCGGAUUAGCUAGUUGGUGAGGUAAUGGCUCACCAAGGCGACGAUCCGUAACUGGUCUGAGAGGAUGAUCAGUCACACUGGAACUGAGACACGGUCCAGACUCCUACGGGAGGCAGCAGUGGGGAAUAUUGGACAAUGGGCGAAAGACCUGGUCCAGCCAUGCCGCGUGUGUGAAGAAGGUC